rnacentral:rRNA from 1 species
AUACGGAGGGUGCAAGCGUUAUUCGGAAUCACUGGGCGUAAAGGACGCGUAGGCGGGUUGGCAAGUCAGAUGUGAAAUCCUACAGCUUAACUGUAGAACUGCAUUUGAAACUGCUAACCUAGAGUAUGGAAGGGGGAGAUGGAAUUAGUGGUGUAGGGGUAAAAUCCGUAGAUAUCACUAGGAAUACCGAAAGCGAAGGCGAUCUCCUGGAACAUAACUGACGCUAAGGCGUGAAAGCGUGGGGAGCAAACAGGAUUAGAAACCCCAGUAGUCC